rnacentral:rRNA from 1 species
UACGAAGGGGGCUAGCGUUGCUCGGAAUCACUGGGCGUAAAGGGCGCGUAGGCGGCCAUUCAAGUCAGGGGUGAAAGCCCAAGGCUCAACCUUGGAAUUGCCUUUGAUACUGUUUGGCUUGAGACCGGAAGAGGUCGGCGGAACUGCGAGUGUAGAGGUGAAAUUCGUAGAUAUUCGCAAGAACACCAGUGGCGAAGGCGGCCGACUGGUCCGGUUCUGACGCUGAGGCGCGAAAGCGUGGGGAGCAAACAGGAUUAGAUACCCUGGUAGUCCACGCCGUAAACGAUGGAUGCUAGCCGUUGGCCGGCUUGCCGGUCAGUGGCGCAGCUAACGCUUUAAGCAUCCCGCCUGGGGAGUACGGUCGCAAGAUUAAA